UUAAAUUGAAGAGUUUGAUCAUGGCUCAGAUUGAACGCUGGCGGCAGGCCUAACACAUGCAAGUCGAACGGUAACAGGAAGCGCUUGCUGCUUCGCUGA
rnacentral:rRNA from 1 species